rnacentral:rRNA from 1 species
AUACGUAGGGUGCAAGCGUUAAUCGGAAUUACUGGGCGUAAAGCGUGCGCAGGCGGUUUUGUAAGGAAGUGGUGAAAUCCCCGGGGUCAAACUGGGGACUGACAUUGUGACUGCAAGGCUGGAGGGCGGCAGAGGGGGAUGGAAUUCCGCGCGGAGGAGGGAAAUGCGUAGAUAUGCGGAGGAACACCGAUGGCGAAGGCAAUCCCCUGGGCCUGCACUGACGCUCAUGCACGAAAGCGUGGGGAGCAAACAGGAUUAGAUACCCUGGUAGUCCACGCCCUAAACGAUGUCAACUGGUUGUUGGGGAUUUAUUUUCUCAGUAACGAAGCUAACGCGUGAAGUUGACCGCCUGGGGAGUACGGCCGCAAGGUUAAAACUCAAAUGAAUUGACGGGG